CGGGGUGAGUAACGCGUGGGUAACCUGCCGUAUGCAGGGGGAUAACACUUAGAAAUAGGUGCUAACACCGCAUAAGCGCACGAGAGCGCAUGCUUUUGUGUGAAAAACUCCGGUGGCAUACGAUGGACCCGCGUCUGAUUAGCCAGUUGGCAGGGUAACGGCCUACCAAAGCGACGAUCAGUAGCCGGCCUGAGAGGGCGGACGGCCACAUUGGGACUGAGACACGGCCCAAACUCCUACGGGAGGCAGCAG
rnacentral:rRNA from 1 species